CCAGCCUGGGGGCAGUGGAGAGAGCGACACCUGACAGACACCUGAAAGACAGGACAGGAGGAGAGAGGAAGGAGAAAGUUUCUAAAGGCUGGGCAAAGAAAGAGCCUGGAAGCAGAGAUUGGAAAUCUGUGUGACUCAGGGGUGACUGUGACCACGAAGCUGUGCAGCUGUGGGAUCGCAUGUGGCACUCGUUGGAGUGUGUGGG
rnacentral:lncRNA from 1 species